GCUUUACACUUGAUCUCUGAACAUUUCAGGUAAGUUCAAAUGUUGACUAAGUUUAUUGCUGAUGCA